AGUGAACGCUGGCGGCAGGCCUAACACAUGCAAGUCGAACGGCAGCACAGAGGAGCUUGCUCCUUGGGUGGCGAGUGGCGGACGGGUGAGGAAUACAUCGGAAUCUGCCUAGUCGUGGGGGCACAACGUAGGGAAACUUACGCUAAUACCGCAUACGACCUACGGGUGAAAGCGGGGAUCGCAAGACCUCGCGCGAUUAGAUGAGCCGAUGUCCGAUUAGCUAGUUGGCGGGGUAAUGGCCCACCAAGGCGACGAUCGGUAGCUGGUCUGAGAGGAUGAUCAGCCACACUGGAACUGAGACACGGUCCAGACUCCUACGGGAGGCAGCAGUGGGGAAUAUUGGACAAUGGGCGCAAGCCUGAUCCAGCCAUGCCGCGUGGGUGAAGAAGGCC
rnacentral:rRNA from 1 species